rnacentral:rRNA from 1 species
CAUGGCUCAGGAUGAACGCUGGCGGCGUGCUUAACACAUGCAAGUCGAACGAUGAUGGGAGCUUGCUCCUGGAUUAGUGGCGAACGGGUGAGUAACACGUGAGUAACCUGCCCUUAACUCUGGGAUAAGCCUGGGAAACUGGGUCUAAUACCGGAUAUGACUCCUCAUCGCAUGGUGGGGGGUGGAAAGCUUUUUGUGGUUUUGGAUGGACUCGCGGCCUAUCAGCUUGUUGGUGAGGUAAUGGCUUACCAAGGCGACGACGGGUAGCCGGCCUGAGAGGGUGACCGGCCACACUGGGACUGAGACACGGCCCAGACUCCUACGGGAGGCAGCAGUGGGGAAUAUUGCACAAUGGGCGCAAGCCUGAUGCAGCGACGCCGCGUGAGGGAUGACGGCCUUCGGGUUGUAAACCUCUUUCAGUAGGGAAGAAGCGAAAGUGACGGUACCUGCAGAAGAAGCGCCGGCUAACUACGUGCCAGCAGCCGCGGUAAUACGUAGGGCGCAAGCGUUAUCCGGAAUUAUUGGGCGUAAAGAGCUCGUAGGCGGUUUGUCGCGUCUGCCGUGAAAGUCCGGGGCUCAACUCCGGAUCUGCGGUGGGUACGGGCAGACUAGAGUGAUGUAGGGGAGACUGGAAUUCCUGGUGUAGCGGUGAAAUGCGCAGAUAUCAGGAGGAACACCGAUGGCGAAGGCAGGUCUCUGGGCAUUAACUGACGCUGA